AGAAGAUUCCUGCUGCUCUUUGAUCUAAAUUUCCCCAAUGCAUCCUUGAAGAUCAUGCACUUCAUGAAAAGGCUAUGUAAGGUUGAUCUUGCAAUCCUGGACUCAAAGGAUCCUCCCAAGUACCUGAGAUGAAGAGGCACAUCGCCAUGCCUGGUUCAGGAAAAGUCAAUGGUGGUAAAUAGAUACAACUGAAUGGUGGCAGCAGAUUCCAUUGAUGGUGUCAGACCUCAGCUUCAGGAGCUGUCUGAGGCCCAGGAAGAAAUGGACUUCAGAUCAACUCACCCAACACUGAAAGUGAAGAGCCACGAAGUAUGAGAAAGACCUACCUCAGGAACCUUGCUUGAGUCCCAGGUCAUCCCUAACCCAAGACGAGGAACCAGCAGAUUCAAUUUUUGCUUAGGGUUGCAUUCUACCAUGGCCACUGAAGAAUGGAAUACAACUCUUUAAAAGAUUGCCAUUGAGUGUUUUGUCCCAGAAGCUCUCAGAUUCUACAUAUUCUGGUCUCAGAUUCUGGUGCAGCAGAAAAGAAAAGGGGCAAAGCACGAUUUUGACACAGACAGACUUGGAUUCAAAUCUCAGCUCUGCUCAUCUGCGGAUGAUGAAGAUGAGCUAUAUCAGAAGUUAAAAUUGAACUGUGAAUCAAAGAAAUUGAAGCCCUGGAUGAUAGCAACAAUAACUACCAAUUCAUCUGUUGACUAUAUACUUGGUUGGAGUUUCUGGAGCCUAUUUCAUGAUCGUUAUACAUUUAUUGACCAUGACUGGUGACAGAAGCAAGGCUGGGUGGUGCAAAGGAUACAGAGAAAGAUUAGAGUCAUGCCGGAGAAGCUCUCUCGAGGUACCUUCUGUUUGCUCCUUCAUCGUCUCACAAUACUGGACAGACUUUUUUUCUUUGAAAACCUGCAUAAAAAGCUUGAUGUUUCAGUUAAAAGCCAACUAGCCAAAAUCAAGUUACACACGCAAACUAAGCCUUUUAUGCCUCAUCUAUAAUACUGUAGGUGUCUGUGGUAGAUUUCAUCAUUGCCAUCAAAUCUGUUUUUUGCAUCUUUCACCUUGUGACUUCACAGUUGCUUUCCCA
ensembl:lncRNA